CUCACUUUGUAGUUUGGAAUGUGAACUUUGGAAUCAGACAGAACUGGGGUGCAAACCCUGGUUCUGCCACUUAUCCCAUGAUGAGCCGUGAAACCCCUAAGCCUCUGUUUCCUCACUUGUAAAAUGGGGAUAUGAUAAUGGCAUUCCUAGCUAAUGGAGCUCUUUCAGGAAUGAGUGAGACCAUCGGAUAAAGCACUCAGCACGACAGGUAACAGAAUUCACCUUGCGCUAACUGAUGUAGCUCCUGAAGCAGCGUGGAAUCAAAAGGAAGCUCGACCCUUACUGCUUCAAAACACACUUCCUCAUCAGGACCCCACCACCGCCACCUUCUUCAGAACCCGGAUCAUGAGCGGACACCCAACGCUUGCUCCCUUUAUGGGCCUCCUUGUCUCCUCCUCCUCCACCGUGGACGCUCCGUAUUUGCUCUGGCAGCUGUGUACCUGGGGAGCAUUGGAGUCCUGCGCCGAACCAGCACAGAAUAUACUGAACCGAACCUAGCGGCUCCAGGUUUCCUUCAGCCUUCCCCCUUCCACAGUUCUGACCCCCUUGACUCUUUACAGCCACUAAUCAACGCCAACUGUUUGAAGAUGCAGGACAGAAGACAUUCUGAAGGCUGCUGCUUCCUUAUACCUCCCUGAG